rfam:Archaeon CG2_30_31_98 isolate CG2_30_31_98 cg2_3.0_scaffold_3495_c, whole genome shotgun sequence.
AGCGGGGUGGAGCAGCAUGGAGUGCUCGUCGGGCCCAUAACCCGAAGGUCAAUGGUUCAAGUCCAUUCCCCGCUA